AAGUUGAAACUCUAAGUUGUCAGUUGAUUUAUCUAAGGUUGUAAGUGAUGGAGCAGGAACUGAACCCAUUUUUUUAAAUUCCUGCCAUGCCAUAUGCUCACUGAAGAAAAGCUACAGCCCUAUACCUACUGCAGCCAUCUUCCUCGUUAGUAAUCCUGGCAGUGUUUCAUGUUAAGUCAGAUGAGGACACUUGUAGUAUCAGGGGUUCAGAAAGCUUUCUUAAAGAGCGUGAAGUUCUGAUAGGCAUUUCUCUUGCGAUUUAAGAUUAGAUGGUGACUUUUUGAGACACUAAUUCAGGGAAGUAUAUUUUUGCUAAACACUUUCUUGUAAUUGUUCUUGUAGAUUGUAAAGCCGUUACUGAUCGAGUAGAGGGGUUUCUUAUUUUCCUUUUUCCCUCCUUUUAAAAAACCCCGUUUGAAAGCAGUAUUUCUGCUUUCUUAGGUUCUGGCCUCAUCAGCACAGCAAACUUUACCCCAAAUCCUAAUCUGUGCUGAGCAUAUUUCACUUUUUUUGGUGGGGGUGGUGAGGAAGAUUGCUCUGAGCUAACAUCUGUAGCCAGUCUUCCUCUUUUUGUUUGAGGAAGAUUGUCGCUGAGCUAACAUUUGUGCCAAUCUUCCUCUGUUUUGUGUGUGGGACGGCGCUACAGCAUGGCUUGAUGAACAAUGUGUAGGUCUUCGCCUGGGCUCCGAACUCGCGAACCCUGGGCUGCAAAAGCAGAGUUCCCGAACUUAACCACUAUGCCACCAGGCUGGCUCCCAUACUUUACUUUUUAAAGGGAUCAGCCCUGAAUUGCACUAUAACUCUCUUUCAUACCUUAUUGCUAUAAUGCUAAAAGUUUUCCAUCACUGACUUGAAUGGUGGUCAAAUACAAAGACGUGGUAACAGGUUGGACCUGGAGUCUCGGAACCUGAUUCCUCUUCUGGAAGGGUGGGUUGUUGCUAUUGUCAUUCACUGCUCUACUUUUUCUCAUCCAGUCACUUUUGAAGUUGAUCUCUGAUGUGUGGCUCCAAAGUCAUGAAAUGCAAAACAAACAUGACUGGUCAGAACCUACACCAGCCAAAUGAGUGCCACUACACAACCCCUCCUCUUCAUUUCAAAGUUCUUGAGGAAACAGUCCUCAUUGGCUGGCCCUAUUUUCUCACCACAGUCUACUCUCCAACCCACCGUAAAGUGGUUUCUGAUCCUGCCACCACUACCACAAGGGGACAUGAUGACAAUAGGUCUUAAUGUUGGUGAUGUUAAUUAAUGUUGAUGCCUUGAUUUAAAGUGGUAUCUGCUGGAUUUUUCUACUAUAAAGCUACUAUUUAUUUCUUUUUGUAAUUAAUAAAUAUCUUGCAGGAGAAACUUUGAGACCAUGCAAAUAUCCAGUUUCUCCUCAGACUUACCCACUAAAUUCUGGCAUCUAGCCGAGAGGAUCUUGCCUACAGCCUUUAUUACUCUGUGGUAUUGUAAUGGCAAUGUUUCAUUUCCCUCAUUCCUUCUACAUUUAUAGAAUUCUCCUGUGAGGAAGAGUUAUCUAUUUAUUUAUUCAGUAAUUUAUAUCAGUAUGGAUUCAUGGAUAUUUAUUUUAUUCCAUGGACUAUAGUUCAUACUGACAUUAUUUAUUUUGUUGUUCACAUUGUUCCACUUCUCGCCAUUGGCUCAAGUUGGCUCCUGUGCCUUUUCAACAAGUUUUCAUCCUUUUCUGAAAACUUAUAAUUUCCUAUGCCCUCCUUUAUUUCUCUCCCUUCACACCUAGGAACCCUUGUCAUGCGUUUAUGAUGGUUUCUCCCUCAUCACUGUCUCAUGAAAUCUGCUUCUUUCCCCAGGGUCAUAGGUUAACUCAGGCCCUUAUCGAUCUCAGUCAUUUCAUUUCUCUCUUCACCAUUUUUGCUAAAUCUACCUUCUAUCUGGAUUGUUAUUUACCUGAUACAUUAUUUUUCAAUUGUCUCAUCUCUAUUUUUUUAAACUUCAAUACAUCUUUCUAAAUCACCUCAAAGGGUUUUACCCAGGCCGUAAUCAGGUUUCCCUGAUCAGCUUCAAGAUGUCCUUUUACAGUUGGCUUAUUUCAAUCUAGAUCCAAACAUAGUCCGCAGGUUGCAUUUGGUUGUCUGAUCUCUUGAGUCUCUCUUAAUCUAAAGCAGUCUCCUCUCACCUUUUUUAAAUGCCUUGUGUGACCCGAGGAUAAUGUAGAAAUAUACUUCCUCCUUCCCCUGCCCAAUUCCUAAUAUGUCUAAGAGUUAUGGUACUACUCGUACAUUAAGGUUUAAUUUUUUUAAAUUUAGGAGCAUCCAUUUUUAAAAACAAUUAUUUUUAAUUGUGGUAAAAAACAUAUAACAUAAAAUUUACCGUCUCAAACAUUUUUAAGUGUAUAGUCCAAUAGUUUAGUGUAGUCACAUUCUUGUGCAACAGAUUCCCUAGGACUUUUUCAUCUUGCAAAACUAAAACUCUAUACCCAUUAAACAGUAACUCCCCAUUGCCUCCUCCUCCUAGCCCUGGCAGCUAUCAUUCUUGCACUCAUUUUUCUUUUUAAAGCUUUGUGUGAUUAUGCAAGUAAUACUGGAAGAAACCGGAUCAGUUGUUGUAUGGAAUCGCCCCCAUUCUGAAUAUAUCUGCUUGCUUCCUGUGGUAUCCUUAAGCUUGUUCCUCUCUCCUCUGUAUUUUCUAUAAAUGAAAGUUAGCUCUAAACUCUGGAGACUUAAUAAUUAGAUUCAGCUUCAACUUCCCUGCAAGAACAGCUCAUUGAUGGUUUUGUGUGGUUUAUAUCAUAACCCGUCAGGGCACAGUGUUGGCCCUUCCCAAAGGCCCAGCCUUUUAAAGUCAUUCUCCAAGCCACUGCACCAGUCACAGGCAGUGAGGUUUCAGUUUUCACCGUCACUGGAUUCUUCCUGGGCCAGCUGCUUUAGCUCCUUCUUCAUUACCUCUUGUAGACUUUUCUCUACAUGGCCCCCUCCAUCACUCCACCCUGGUUUUCAGACACUUGAAUUAGGAGGUGGCAGAGACUCCUUGAGGGGUUUGGGUGUGGGCUUUUUGUUGAGGACCCUGGGCUGGGGCUUCAGGCAUCUUGAGGAGCCUUAACUAGAGAAAGUCAGGGAGGAUCAGACUAGACUUUGUUCUGAUGCUUCUUUUGUGCCACAAAUGGCAGUGGUGACAACGUGGAUAGUUAACUUGUCACCCGUAGACUAUCUGGAACAUAUAGAAGAUGCACAAGCUGCUGCCUCCGUAUUUUACAAGCUACACUUGAGCUGACGGCACUGGCGGUACUUCAGCCUGUUAGUUUGGCUUUCAGCUUGCUGCGUUUCUUGCUGCUAGCUUGGUGGGCUCCAAGGAGAAUGCUUUUCUGCUUCCUGCUCCCCCCCCCCCCAGUUCCUAACACAUCUGACAGAUUGGGUACUGCUCUUAUAUUCAGGUUCCUUCUUUUUUAAAUUUAGAAACCUUCAUGUUUUAAGCUUUCUUUUUUGUGAUUAUGUAAGUAAUACACAUUCCUUGAAGAAGAUUAGAAAAUAACGUUUGUUUUUUCUUUGAAUAUUUGUAUUUCUCUCUCCCAGAUACACUUGUUGCUAAAAGGGUUAAAAUUGUCCAGGCAUUUUUCUUCCUAUGCAUAGAUCUAUAUAAAUUUAGAAAAAAAAUGAUACAUUUUUAUGAAAUAGAAUCAUCCCACUAACACUGUUUAGAAGGCUGUAGUUUUGAUUCUGAUGUAUCAUGAACAUCUUGCCAUAUCCAUAAAUGCACCCCGCAAUUUUCGUCCUUCAGGACUGCCUAGUACUUGGUUGCAUAGCUAUGUCCUCAUUUAUUUCACUAGCCGCCUAGGGCUGGAAACGGGGUCUCUUGUAAUUUCUCUCUUGCAUGUGCGUUGCUGCUACAGUCGUGCUUCCUCGUUAUGUCUUGGGUCUCAGCAUUUCCGUUACCGGUUCGCUCCGAUGUCUUUGCAUACGGUCACGUUUCCUAAGGGGAGAUUCCCAGCAGUCAAAUUUCUGGGUCAAAAGGAACUGUGCUAACAGGGCCUCCUCCUGGAACUGUUGAGAGGCCUGGAGCUCAUCUGUGAAAGAGCCCAACAGCGCCUUGUACGGUAGGACUCAGGAACCAGCUGCUCUUAUGGAAUAUUUUGUUUUCAUAUAUUUUUCCUUUACUUUUUAAAGUUUUCUUAGUGACAGUUAUUAAACUUCAGAAUUGUAAAUCAGAGUUACACAUCAGAAUACAACCACGUUUUGUCAUACUUUAGUAUUCUCUGUACAGAUAAGUUUUUCUAUGUAUAUGGGUUUUUCACAUAUGUGUCACAAAUUUGAAGUUUCUCUUUUUUCUCACUUAUUUUGUAAUGACAAUUUUUAAAUAAAUAUUUGAUUAACAAAG
ensembl:lncRNA